UUGAACACGGACCAAGGAGUCUAGCAUGUGCGCGAGUCAUUGGGACGUUUACGCUAAACCCAGAGGCGCAAUGAAAGUGAAAGGGAGCGCCUCGCGCGCUCCCAGCAGGGAAGAUGCGCGGGCGUCCUCGCGCGCCCCGCCGCAUUCCCGAGGCGUUUCGAGAAAGCCACCGUGCGAUUAUCGAGACGCACUGAGAGCGUACACGCUGGGACCCGAAAGAUGGGUGAACUAUGCCUGGUCAGGUCGAA
rnacentral:rRNA from 1 species